AGUACAAGCAAAUGCAUUGAUGUCAAAUUCAAUUGGUGUGUGACUGGACAUGGCUAAUGAGGCAUAUGCCUGUAACGUUCUUCUCUUCUUCAGGGAGCAGGGUUGCAGCUUAAUUGGAAUCUUCUGCACAUCAGCACAUCCACCUCAUUGUCAAAUUAAAUUCGACUUCAGAUCGUAUGAAGAGCAUACUGAGAUACAAGAUGGAGGAAACAUGAAGGACUACAGUACAUAGACAUGCAGAAAAGAGAAAGACAAUACAGACUCGAUGGUGAUCACACUACACUACAACUGAAUGAUUGAAUCCAAUGAAGCUUAGGAACGAGACUGGAGGAAGAUCAAAGAAAGCUGCUCUUGGGGGCCAAACUCAUAAAACAGGUGGCAAGUGAAAUCUUUAACUCCAAGUAUGGAUGGAGGGCCGCUACAAGAAGGAUUGGAUGCUGAAGAUGUCUCUCUUGCUUUAGGUCUGGAUGUCAGAUGCAACUACAAAAAUUAGGUUUUGGGUGAUGAUCGCUGUAUCUCUGAAUCACCAGCUGGUUAUGUUUCAGGGUUUUAGUCCUUAGAGCUAUAUGCUGUUAUUUUGUUUUGUGUGAUGUCAUCUACAAAUCCAGCUAUCUUGGUAGCUUGUCUAAGACUGCUCUGUAUCUGAACCUGAACUUUGUAGUUCUUCAUUUCUAGUAAUGGA